AUUGGGUGUGGUGGCGCACACCUAUAAUCCCAGUGGCUUGGGAAGCUGAGACAGGAGGAUCGCAAGUUCAAAGCCAGCCUCAGCAACUUAGUGAGUCCCUGAGCAACUCAGUGAGACUCUGUCUCAA
rnacentral:sRNA from 1 species